UUCCCUCACCUAGUCACCUCUCGUCUCCACUAAGUCUCUUAACUCUUUUUUGCAGGUUUUAGAGCUUAAGAUGCAGUAAAGGCGGCGGCAAAUCAACUUCUUUCAGAUAUUCUCUCUUAGGUCAUUUGCUUUGAAAACCAUGCAUUCCAUAGAAAACUGUUUGGUGUAAGGUCACACUCUUCAUAUGUUUCUCCUUUUCAAAGCUUUAUGAUGCUUCCUUUUGAGUAUGAAUGGGGUCCUCGUACGUUGAACAAAAUGUGAAAUCUCUGCUUUUAGAACAAUAAAGUUGUCUGCUUUACAUUUUGAUAUUGCUACUGCACCAACUUUUCUCUUGAUCGGC